CAAAUGGUUUCAAAAUUUGAUAAAAAAACCAUAGUUUGUAUAAUAUUCAUUGUUAGAAUUAGGUUGGAAUUAAGAUUUUCAAUCGAGAUAAUAUUUGUGCAAUUUCUCUUUCCAAACUUAUGUACUUGUCCAUGAUUCUUUGUUCGCAAAAUUUAUUAGAAUAGUUCCAAAUAAGGAAAUAAGGGUUAAAUGAUCAACCUAAUCUAAACAAAAGGGGAAAAUGACCAAUCUACCCCUAUUAAGGACCCAAUUUGCAAAAAAACCAAGACCCAUCUCACUUUUAAAGUGAGUUCACGGCCAACUCCAUCCCUCUCUCUAUAAAUAUUCCUUCACUAUUUCAUGUUCAUGUUAAACACUUAGAAUAUAUAUAUAUAUAUAUAUAUACAUAUUUUGAGAGACAGUUGUGGUCUCUUGACAUGUCCAAGAUAUGCCAAUACUCAUAGCUUAAACUAUGUGUAGAAGAACUAUAUUUAAAUGUUAUUGCGUUAUACUAAAAGUUUCACGAUGGACCAAAAAGUAAUAUUUACUUGAAUAAUAAGCAGGUCUUGAAAAUAAUGAUAAUUUCUUGUUAACAUAUUAAAUAUUGGAAAUGAACUAAAGACAAAUAUUAGGAAUCCAUUACUUGUUC